rnacentral:lncRNA from 11 species
UGUUGUUGUUGUUGUUGUUGUGGUGGUGGUGGUGAUUAUCCCCCUACUUCCGUUUCUUAAUUGAGACGCUAUCUUGUGCCCUUCCUUUUGCAGGUCUGGGCCAACAUCCACCAAUGCUUCGCUCCCGAAUACCGCCGGGUGACGCUGAUGAUGAUGGCUGUGUGGUUCACCAUGUCUUUCAGCUACUAUGGCUUGACCGUCUGGUUCCCCGACAUGAUCAAGCACCUCCAGAACAUCGAGUACGCCUCCCGGACGAAGGUCUUCAUCAACGAGACGGUGCGCCACAUCACGUUCAACUUCACCUUGGAGAACCAGAUCCACAGCCGCGGGGAGUACUUCAAUGACAAGUGGGUCCCACCUUUCCUUGCCUAUCCUAUUUCUUUGUUUUGUUCUACCUUCCCUUUUAUUGUGGGAUCUAAGAAUCAUAGAGUUGGGACCCCAAAGGUCAUCCAGUCCAACCUCGUUCUGCCAGGCAAGAAGAUACUGUCGCACCUCAGGCUAAGUUCACCUUGCUAUAGAUCCCCAGUCAGACACAAGGAAAGUCUUUUGAAGUUUUUAUUAAGCAAAGCAGAAUAUAUUUCAAGUAAGCAAUCAAAAAGGUAGUUCAAAGAUAUAAGAAAAUAGUCAAUAAGAAUCUAAUUGUUCACAAUGCAAAGUAUUGUCCAUUAAUCUAUAAUGCAAGGUCCAAAAGUCCAAAGAGCAUAGCAAGAGCAAUAAUCCACAAGGCAAGGUAAUAGUCCAUAUAGUCCAAGAACAAGAUCCAGAAUCCAGGGAUCCAAGAGCAAUACUUUACAAGGCAAGGUAAUAGUCCAUAUAGUCCAAGAACAAGAUCCAGAAUCCAGGGAUCCAAGAGCAAUACUUUACAAGGUAAGGUAAUAGUCCAUAUAGUCCAAGAACAAGAUCCAGAAUCCAGGGAUCCAAGAGCAAUACUUUACAAGGCAAUAGUCCAUAUAGUCCAAGAACAAGAUCCAGAAUCCAGAGGUCUAAUAGAGUCCAAGAACAAGGUCCAAGAUACAAAGAUCCAAGAGUCUAGGAACAAGGCCCAAUAUCCAAAGAUCCAAGAACACAGACGAAGAGAGUAACCACCGAGAUAAAGCGAGGAAUUGCUCUGACAAGGAGCAGUCUGCAAAGCAUCCUUUUAAUAACAGCUUAGAAAGGUGUUCCUUUUCCCACAGCUCGUUUCUCUUUUGCGAGCCAAACGCUCACUUCUUCGAACCUGGGAACCCAUCCAAGACAAACGGUCCUCUCUGGAUAGUUCGUUGCUUGUGCCACCCGGCAUGGAGCUGAAUCUACUCCCUCAUUUCUCAAGGGAAUGUCAGACUGCCCAUUAUCUCUAGUUCCUGGGUUCAGCAGGUCAUCCUGCUCAAACUGAAACUGCAAAUCUCCAGCCUCAGAGCCAGACUCCAUCUCUGAACCAGCUUCUGCCUCUGACAGUUCUUGAAUCUCAAAUCCAGAAUCCCCUUCAUCUUCAUCGUGAAUCUGACCAGCCCGUGGCUGGGUCACAACACACACUGCCAGGUGGUCAUCCAGAGAGAGAGAGAGAGAGACCAUAGAUCGAUCGACAGAUAGCUAGAUAGAUAGAUAGAAGUUCGAUAGAAGCUUGAUAGAUAUAUGAUACAAGGGUUGAAUGAAAAGUAAUGUCUCCACCUUCGUGACUUGGGUUUGGAUGGGAAUAUUUUAAUAAAUCAAAUGCAGAAAUUAUCCUCUUUAACAACCACUAUUCACUUUGCCACAUCAUCACCAGACAAUUGGAUACAUUUCUGCCAAUGGUGAACAUGUUUUCUGAAGCCGUCAGAGAAGAAGUCGACACUCUGUUUCCGCAAUCGGCGUCUCACAGUCCCCAUCGUGCACAGAUCUUCUGAUAGCCAACAAAGCAAUAAUGUGACCCACACCUUCUUGUGAAAUGCCGAUUAUGCUUGAAAUUUCUCUCUGAGUGAUACGACAAUCGUCCUGAAUCAAUCUGUCAACCUUUUACUUGUGAAACUCAGUGUUUGCUGUCACAGGACAUCCAAAUCGUUGUUUGUCACGCAAGUCAGAUGUUCCCACCUCAACAUCUUUCAACUUACUUGCCCAACUCACAUCCACACAAUCACCCUAAACAGCUUGCAUUCUCUGAGGAAUCUCCUUUGUGGUGACACCUUCUGCUGUAAAGAAUUCAAUGACUGCAAGUUGCUUAAGUCACAGGGUUCCAUACUUUGCACUUUCACAACACAACCGUUCAAUGCUAAGGCUUCCCCGUCUGCGCAGGGUUCCGUAUUUCGCCCUUUAACAACACAACCGUUCAAUGCUAAGGCUUCCCCGUCUGCGCAGGGUUCCGUACUUCGCACUUUAACAACACAACCGUUCAAUGCUAAGGCUUCCCCGUCUGCGCAGGGUUCCGUACUUCGCACUUUAACAACACAACCGUUCAGUGCUAAGGCUUCCCCGUCUGCGCAGGGUUCCGUACUUCGCCCUUUAACAACACAACCGUUCAAUGCUAAGGCUUCCCCGUCUGCGCAGGGUUCCGUACUUCGCCCUUUAACAACACAACCGUUCAGUGCUAAGGCUUCCCCGUCUGCGCAGGGUUCCGUACUUCGCCCUUUAACAACACAACCGUUCAAUGCUAAGGCUUCCCCGUCUGCGCAGGGUUCCGUACUUCCCCCUUUAACAACACAACCGUUCAAUGCUAAGGCUUCCCCGUCUGCGCAGGGUUCCGUACUUCCCCCUUUAACAACACAACCGUUCAAUGCUAAGGCUUCCCCCGUCUGCGCAGGGUUCCGUACU